rnacentral:tRNA from 1 species
GAAUUACUAGUUAAAUAAUAACAAUGCCUUGUCAAGGCAUAAUUACCUCAGGUGUACUUCU